rnacentral:rRNA from 1 species
UGCAAGUCGAGCGCGCCCUUCGGGGUGAGCGGCGGACGGGUGAGUAACGCGUGGGAAUAUGCCCUUCUCUAAGGAAUAGCCUCUGGAAACGGAGAGUAAUACCUUAUACGCCCUUUGGGGGAAAGAUUUAUCGGAGAAGGAUUAGCCCGCGUUAGAUUAGGUAGUUGGUGGGGUAAUGGCCUACCAAGCCUACGAUCUAUAGCUGGUUUGAGAGGAUGAUCAGCCACACUGGGACUGAGACACGGCCCAGACUCCUACGGGAGGCAGCAGUAGGGAAUCUUAGACAAUGGGGGCAACCCUGAUCUAGCCAUGCCGCGUGUGUGAUGAAGGCCCUAGGGUCGUAAAGCACUUUCGCCAGAGAUGAUAAUGACAGUAUCUGGUAAAGAAACCCCGGCUAACUCCGUGCCAGCAGCCGCGGUAAUACGGAGGGGGUUAGCGUUGUUCGGAAUUACUGGGCGUAAAGCGCACGUAGGCGGAUUAGUAAGUUAGAGGUGAAAUCCCAGGGCUCAACCCUGGAACUGCCUUUAAUACUGCUAGUCUUGAGUUCGAGAGAGGUAAGUGGAAUUCCGAGUGUAGAGGUGAAAUUCGUAGAUAUUCGGAGGAACACCAGUGGCGAAGGCGGCUUACUGGCUCGAUACUGACGCUGA